rnacentral:rRNA from 1 species
GACGAACGCUGGCGGCGUGCUUAACACAUGCAAGUCGAACGGAAAGGCCCUGCUUUGGUGGGGUGCUCGAGUGGCGAACGGGUGAGUAACACGUGAGUAACCUGCCCUUGACUUUGGGAUAACUUCAGGAAACUGGGGCUAAUACCGGAUAGGAGCUCCUGCUGCAUGGUGGGGGUUGGAAAGUUUCGGCGGUUGGGGAUGGACUAGCGGCUUAUCAGCUUGUUGGUGGGGUAGUGGCUUACCAAGGCUUUGACGGGUAGCCGGCCUGAGAGGGUGACCGGCCACAUUGCGCCUGAGCUACGGCCCAGCCUACUACGGGAGGCAGCAGUGGGGAAUAUUGCACUAUGGGCGGAAGCCUGAUGCAGCAACGCCGCGUGCGGGAUGACGGCCUUCGGGUUGUAUACCGCUUUCGCCUGUGACGAAGCGUGAGUGACGGUAAUGGGUAAAGAAGCACCGGCUAACUACGUG